GACGUAGGAAGCAAGCGUUGUCCGGAAUGACUGGGCGUAAAGGGUGCGUAGGCGGCUCUUUAAGUCUGAUGUGAAAUCCUGUGGCUUAACCAUAGAACUGCAUCAGAUACUGGGGAGCUGGAGUGCGGAAGAGGUUGACGGAAUUACUAGUGUAGCGGUGGAAUGCGUAGAUAUUAGUAAGAAGACCGGAGGCGAAGGCGGUCAACUGGGACGUAACUGACGCUGAGGCACGAAAGCGUGGGGAGCAAACAGG
rnacentral:rRNA from 1 species